CAUUGAAGCAUCUGUUCCCGUAUGAUCACCGAAGUUAAACAACGUUCAGCCUAGUCAGUACUUAGAUGGGUGACCGCUUGGGAAUACCAGGUACUGUAAU